rnacentral:rRNA from 1 species
GAUGAACGCUGGCGGCGUGCUUAACACAUGCAAGUCGAACGGAAAGGCCAAGCUUGCUUGGGUACUCGAGUGGCGAACGGGGGAGGAACACGUGGGGGAUCUGCCCUGCACUUCGGGAUAAGCCUGGGAAACUGGGUCUAAUACCGGAUAGGAACACUUCUUGGGUGUUGUGGUGGAAAGUUUUUUCGGUGUGGGAUGAGCUCGCGGCCUAUCAGCUUGUUGGUGGGGUAAUGGCCUACCAAGGCGUCGACGGGUAGCCGGCCUGAGAGGGUGUACGGCCACAUUGGGACUGAGAUACGGCCCAGACUCCUACGGGAGGCAGCAGUGGGGAAUAUUGCACAAUGGGCGCAAGCCUGAUGCAGCGACGCCGCGUGGGGGAUGACGGCCUUCGGGUUGUAAACUCCUUUCGCUAGGGACGAAGCGUUUUGUGACGGUACCUGGAGAAGAAGCACCGGCUAACUACGUG